rnacentral:rRNA from 1 species
AUUGAACGCUGGCGGCAUGCUUUACACAUGCAAGUCGAACGGCAGCGCGGGGGCAACCCUGGCGGCGAGUGGCGAACGGGUGAGUAAUGCAUCGGAACGUAUCCUGUAAUGGGGGAUAACGUAGCGAAAGUUACGCUAAUACCGCAUACGCUCGAGAGAGGAAAGUGGGGAUCGCAAGACCUCACGUUAUAGGAGCGGCCGAUGUCCGAUUAGCUAGUUGGUGGGUAAAGGCCUACCAAGGCGACGAUCGGUAGCUGGUCUGAGAGGAUGAUCAGCCACACUGGGACUGAGACACGGCCCAGACUCCUACGGAGGCAGCAGUGGGGAAUUUUGGACAAUGGGCGAAAGCCUGAUCCAGCCAUGCCGCGUGCGGGAAGAAGGCCUCGG